rnacentral:rRNA from 1 species
GAUGAACGCUGGCGGCGUGCCUAAUACAUGCAAGUCGAGCGAACGGACGAGAAGCUUGCUUCUCUGAUGUUAGCGGCGGACGGGUGAGUAACACGUGGAUAACCUACCUAUAAGACUGGGAUAACUUCGGGAAACCGGAGCUAAUACCGGAUAAUAUUUUGAACCGCAUGGUUCAAAAGUGAAAGACGGUCUUGCUGUCACUUAUAGAUGGAUCCGCGCUGCAUUAGCUAGUUGGUAAGGUAACGGCUUACCAAGGCAACGAUGCAUAGCCGACCUGAGAGGGUGAUCGGCCACACUGGAACUGAGACACGGUCCAGACUCCUACGGGAGGCAGCAGUAGGGAAUCUUCCGCAAUGGGCGAAAGCCUGACGGAGCAACGCCGCGUGAGUGAUGAAGGUCUUCGGAUCGUAAAACUCUGUUAUUAGGGAAGAACAUAUGUGUAAGUAACUGUGCACAUCUUGACGGUACCUAAUCAGAAAGCCACGGCUAACUACGUGCCAGCAGCCGCGGGUAUACGUAGGUGGCAAGCGUUAUCCGGAAUUAUUGGGGCGUAAAGCGCGCGUAAGCGGUUUUCUUAGUCUGAUGUGAAAGCCCACGGCUCAAUCGUGGAGGGUCAUUGGAAACUGGAAAACUUGAGUGCAGAAGAGGAAAGUGGAAUUCCAUGUGUAGCGGUGAAAUGCGCAGAGAUAUGGAGGAACACCAGUGGCGAAGGCGACUUUCUGGUCUGUAACUGACGCUGAUGUGCGAAAGCGUGGGGAUCAAACAGGAUUAGAUACCCUGGUAGUCCACGCCGUAAACGAUGAGUGCUAAGUGUUAGGGGGUUUCCGCCCCUUAGUGCUGCAGCUAACGCAUUAAGCACUCCGCCUGGGGAGUACGACCGCAAGGUUGAAACUCAAAGGAAUUGACGGGGACCCGCACAAGCGGUGGAGCAUGUGGUUUAAUUCGAAGCAACGCGAAGAACCUUACCAAAUCUUGACAUCCUUUGACAACUCUAGAGAUAGAGCUUUCCCCUUCGGGGGACAAAGUGACAGGUGGUGCAUGGUUGUCGUCAGCUCGUGUCGUGAGAUGUUGGGUUAAGUCCCGCAACGAGCGCAACCCUUAAGCUUAGUUGCCAUCAUUAAGUUGGGCACUCUAAGUUGACUGCCGGUGACAAACCGGAGGAGGGUGGGGAUGACGUCAAAUCAUCAUGCCCCUUAUGAUUUGGGCUACACACGUGCUACAAUGGACAAUACAAAGGGCAGCGAAACCGCGAGGUCAAGCAAAUCCCAUAAAGUUGUUCUCAGUUCGGAUUGUAGUCUGCAACUCGACUACAUGAAGCUGGAAUCGCUAGUAAUCGUAGAUCAGCAUGCUACGGUGAAUACGUUCCCGGGUCU